AGCCAGACUCCUACGGGAGGCAGCAGUGGGGGAUAUUGCACAAUGGGGGGAACCCUGAUGCAGCGACGCCGCGUGGGUGAAGGAGUGCUUCGGCAUGUAAAGCCCUAUCGGCAGGGAAGAAGCAAGACGGUACCUGACUAAGAAGCCCCGGCUAACUACGUGCCAGCAGCCGCGGUAAUACGUAGGGGGCAAGCGUUAUCCGGAUUUACUGGGUGUAAAGGGAGCGUAGACGGUUAUGUAAGUCUGGAGUGAAAGCCCGGGGCCCAACCCCGGGACUGCUUUGGAAACUGUGUAACUGGAGUACAGGAGGGGCAGGCGGAAUUCCUGGUGUAGCGGUGAAAUGCGUAGAUAUCAGGAGGAACACCGGUGGCGAAGGCGGCUUACUGGACCAUAACUGACGUUGAGGCUCGAAAGCGUGGGGAGCGAACAGGAUUAGAUACCCUGGUA
rnacentral:rRNA from 1 species